rnacentral:rRNA from 1 species
GUCUGCGGCCGCGCCGCCCUGAACGCGCCCCAUCCCGGCUGGGCUCGGAAGCUCAGCAGGGGCGGGCCUGCUUAGUCCUUGGAUGGGAGACCACCUAGGAAGACCGGGUGCCAUAGGCA